UGGGGAAUAUUGCGCAAUGGGGGGAACCCUGACGCAGCCAUGCCGCGUGAAUGAAGAAGGCCUUAGGGUUGUAAAGUUCUUUCGGUAUUGAGGAAGGUUGAUGUGUUAAUAGCACAUCAAAUUGACGUUAAAUACAGAAGAAGCACCGGCUAACUCCGUGCCAGCAGCCGCGGUAAUACGGAGGGUGCGAGUGUUAAUCGGAAUAACUGGGCGUAAAGGGCACGCAGGCGGUUAUUUAAGUGAGGUGUGAAAGCCCCGGGCUUAACCUGGGAAUUGCAUUUCAGACUGGGUAACUAGAGUACUUUAGGGAGGGGUAGAAUUCCACGUGUAGCGGUGAAAUGCGUAGAGAUGUGGAGGAAUACCGAAGGCGAAGGCAGCCCCUUGGGAAUGUACUGACGCUCAUGUGCGAAAGCGUGGGGAGCAAACAGGAUUAGAUACCCCGGUAGUCCACGCUGUAAACGCUGUCGAUUUGGGGGUUGGGGUUUAACUCUGGCGCCCGUAGCUAACGUGAUAAAUCGACCGCCUGGGGAGUACGGCCGCAAGGUUA
rnacentral:rRNA from 1 species